rnacentral:rRNA from 1 species
CCUUACGUCCAGGGCGACACACGUGCUACAAUGGUCGGUACAGCGGGUAGCGAUCCUGCAAAGGGGAGCCAAUCUUGUAAAGCCGGUCACAGUUCGGAUUGGGGUCUGCAACCCGACCCCAUGAAGCUGGAAUCGCUAGUAAUCGCGCAUCAGCCAUGGCGCGGUGAAUACGUUCCCGGACCUUGUACACACCGCCCGUCAAGCCAUGGGAGUUGGGGGGACCUGAAGGUCGGUGUUAUAGCCGGGCAAGGGUAAAUCUGGCGACUGGGGCUAAGUCGUAACAAGGUAGCCGUACCGGAAGGUGCGGCUGGAUCACCUCCUU